UAUAUGUGUGAAUUUUCUGCCAUGUGAUUUUACACACUGCAUGGCUUUGAAGUUGUGUCACCAAGAAGCUCUACCUAAAUAAGUUUAUUAUUCCACAAUUGCCUCUGAAAUUACAAUUGGAGAAGUAAAAUACAAGUUAACAAACUAAACAUUGUCCUCUAUUAGAAGCCAGCAUACUAGAGUUUCCAUUGAUGUAACCACAGCUAUUGUAUCUUUGCUAAAGUUUACAAAGUCCCAAUAUGUAUGUAAACAAAUAAGUUGAUUUCAAGCGAUGCACUAGAGCAGGACAUUGAUCUUCCAUCUGAAGCUGAAUCAGCAAUUGUGGUCUGCCAGGUACACCUUGGAAAGCCAUGUGCCAUUAAAACAGUGCUCUGCACACCUACAAAGGACAGGCUUGACGUGGUCCAAUGGUUAGCCCGUGAGCAUGGCAAUCCAAAUGCUUCCUGAUGCCACAUGGCACACUGGGCAGGGUACUUACUACCCAUUCUUCCUCAUUUAUGCAUCUUUAAACGAAGUUUUCUUAUCUUGUAAAUGUAUAACGAUCUUUGAACGAUAUACAGAGUGACUAAAUGAGCUGCUACAAAGCUAUAAUUAGGCUCACACUACCUAAUGCCACGCUCUUCAUGCCUCUUCAGCAGGCGAGUAGAAAAGCACAGCUGAAAUACUACAUUCUGUCUCCUUCUGUUUUUAAAAUCUUUAUUUUCUAUUCCUAUUAAGAUAUUUCUUCCAGCGAGGUGCCUGCCAGCAAACUCUAUUUGUCAAUAUAUUGCCUGGUAUUCCGUAACGAACCGUGUGUCAGUCGUGGUUUCCCAAACACUUUAACAUCAGCUCUUAACAUAUUUAAGGCUGUGCUGCCCUCUCCUGGUAGCUCUUGACCUGACAGAUCGGCUGCUAAGCAGAGGCUGUAGGACGGACCAUGCAGCAGUAUUCGUGAAUACCUCACACUAAAUCGGAGCCAGAGGAAACGCCCCACGUUUUCCCUUUACUUUAAUCAAUCCUUUAUGGUCAGCAUAAAUAGUAAACCACGGAAAUCUGGUGGUGGUUCUCUUAUCCUUGCAAGUUCUUUUCUUCCCCCAUCCCUUGUAUUCCUUGCUUACAACUUUUCUUUCUUUUCUCUUAUCCAUCUGCUUCUUAGCAGUCUCUUUUUUCCUCUGAGACCUUUCUAAACACAGUCCUCCAAAAGACCCAGACAAGAAACAAAACAAACCAUGGGUGCUAAAUACAGCGAGCUAUUCACGAUCAGAGGGGACAACCAGACAGAAUUUGGUUCCACCAUUCAGUCCCUGAGAUAACAUUUCAACAUCAUAUUUAUGUUAGUUACCCAGAGGAGCCCAUCAGGGUGUCAAACCUUGCUUCAGGAGAAAGGGCAAACAUAACAGCAGAGAGUCAAAGAAAAGACAAAAUAACAAUAGUUUUGUUCUUCUGCUGGUCUUGUUACGACCCCUCCUAAGCAAUUACUUAAAAUAUUCACAGCUCUUUUUAGAAACAAUGCUCCUCAUCCAGAUCCAAGCAGUAAAUAAGUACAUUUACAACCCAUGCAUUCUGAAACUGAAUUUUCCAAACAAUGGGCUGCAGGGAAAAGUCAAAAUAACACUUCAGGGAAAAGAAAAAUCCUAAUGUAAAUGUAAUUGUUUAAGUUAUGACUGAUUUAAUAUCAAAGACAACAAAUGCCUUUGGAAGCCUCAGUGUUGUCACGUAGUCAACGCAGAAUCUGAGAGCUCAGAGUUAUGACAGAUUCCUCGUGGAGUCUUCACAGAGCCAUCAUGAGGUUAUGAAGGAGUUGUGCUGGAAUCAGCACCAAGAAUUCAUGGAUUCAUUGUGGUGUCAUUAUAGAGUCAUCACCAAGUGAUUUCAGAGUUGCCAUGGAGCUGUCAUAGAGACAUCGAGUCAUCACAGAGUAGUCACAGUAUCAGAGUUGUCACAGAAUGAUUUAAGAGUCAUGAUGUUGUCACGCAUUUUGCAUGCAGUGCACCAACUAGUCAUCAGAAGAUCAUCAUGGAGACAUCUUAGAGUCCUAGAGUCAUUGGAGAGUCCUUAAGGAGCUAUCACAGUUCUGCUAGCUCAUCUUCAAGGAGUUCUUGCACUUACUGAGGAUCUGUAUUAGCAAGGCAUCUUGAUGUCAAGAUUUAGGGGAUAUCUAUGCAGGUAUAAUCUCAAGAGUUGUCACUACUCAAGGAAAGAUCCUACCAUGCAGCCCACUGCAGUACAGGAGAGCCUGAAGGGGCUCUUGGGAUGCUUAUUAUUUAUGGGGUAAGAUGAUUGACUCAAUCAUAGGUUGCUUUCUAGGCACAUGCUCAACUGGUCCUCAGCUGUUGAACCAGGUGUCUGCUAUCAGAUAAUUCAGACAGCAGUUUGAGACAGAUUUGUGGUUGUUAAUCUGUUUUAGUGAGAAUGUUAUUAGUCCUGUAUGAGGUCUUGUUUGCAAGGCCAGGCUGAAGGAGGGAGCUGAGAUAAGGAAAGAGGGCAGCAAGAGAGGCAGGGGGAGCAUGCUGUCACAAUGAGCCAAUUGUGCGUAGCUUGAGUGUGCUGGACUGCUAGGUGACAAUGGAACACCGUGGAGGGGAGGGUGCAUUUCAGAGUCAACUCUGCCUCCUGUACCUGCCACUCACAGAUUGGGAAUUGCAGUGGAGUUGUGGUACUGACUUUGAGGGUUGUGUGUGCAAUGUUCCGAGAGGAUGGGAUGAAUGAAAUUGCUGGUAAAGAUCAGAGCGGCCGGCCAGAGAUGGGCUGGAAUCAAUUGAAAAUACAGUCUUGACUUCCUCAGUGCACAAGCCACUGGAAAUCUAUAAUAACCUCUGGGGAAAGAAAAUGGAAAUUUGCAGGUUCAACAACUAGCCCUGCAAUGAUCAUUUUAUCAGUGAAUCUCUGUGAAAAAUAGUGCUCAGAAGAUUCCUAUGUGUCUUCAUUCUCUCAAAACUCCGCAGAUGUUUCCCUUGCAAGAUUUUUGUUCUCAACUCAAUGUACUUGAGAAUGUAACAGUAAGAAAAUAUGCUAAUGGAGUUGAAAGAGAAGAAAGAUAAAGUGAUGUGCAAAAUUUUAGUAAAAGACUCUGCGUCCUAAAGAUCAAACCUUUGAAGUAUACAAGAAUGGCGAAAUGUGGUAGAAGGGAAGAAUUGUUAUAAUUAAUUUACAAGAAACUGAAGCUCAAAGAUGUUCACAUUUUCUAAGAACAGGCAGGAGGGUGGAGCUGUGAAUCAAGGUAAGGAGCUUAAGGGCAAGGUGUUCUUUCUGGAUUUGUUUGCUUAAAUAUUGGAAGGAAAAUGUUUGUGCUCUCCAGAUUUGACAUAGCAGAGAUUUCUGCCUUUGCAAAUCUCCAUGGAAACUCACGAUACAGACUGAAAUGGAGACUGCAAAGCAAUGGAGCUCUGGACUGUUUAGCUGUAGCAAAGAAUUAUCUAUGCGGUAACAUCUCCUUAUAUGUAGACUAGGAUAAAUGUGAAUAAAGAAGUGUCUUUCUCAAGGACUAGAGACAGAACUUUUGUCAUCAGUGAAAUGCUGUGUUA